UGUGUGUGUGUGUGUGUGUGUGUGUGUUGUGGAUUUGGAUCAAGGAAGGAGAUGGCGUGGGGAUGAGGCAGUGGGUGGAGGAAGAGGGCGAUGCCGGCGGACGGAGGGGGCGGAUCUUGAUCCAGGCCGCCCCUCGUGUCUGAUUUGUUCGUUGAGAUGAUCUUCUCUCUUCCCAUCUCCCCCUCUCUUCUCUCACUGACCCCAUCUCGUCUCUGCGGGUAGAGCGGCGUGAGGAGCAGGCCAACAUCUCUCUUUACCUCCACCAAACACCAACAUGGUUGAGAGCAUAAAUGCAUCAUUCAUCCAUCAACCCAUCUAUAGAUCCAGGAUGAUUGCUUACAUCUAGCCAGGUCUGACUAUCUUGUGAUGGUGAUUCUAGCAAAGAUAGCAAAGGUAAUGAUGCAGCAAAAAUGACGGGAGCGACUCUCAACAUUCAGAAACAUUUAGAUUUCACAGUUUAA